rnacentral:ncRNA from 1 species
UAAAAGUUUAAUUCUAGCUUUUUAAUUAACUUAUUCAUUGAACUAUAUGGGGAUUACAUUUAAUUUUUAUAUUCCAGUAGUUAAAAUUAAAUUAUAUUAUUAGUUUUGAAUUAGUAAUUGAAUAUUUAUAAAAUUAGAUUAAUAUUUGUGCCAGCAUUCGCGGUUAAACAAUUUAUUUAAGUUAAUUAUGUUAUUUUUUAAAAUUUAAUAGUUGGAAGAAGGUUCAUAAAGUUAUUUUAUUUAGGUGGAAUUUGUAAUUUUUUAUAAUUUCCUGAUAAAUAUUAUUUGAGAAAUUUUUAUUAAUGACUAGGAUUAGAUACCCUAUUAAUUUUAUAGUAAAUUUUUUUAGAAUGGUAUUAGUUAAGUUCUUAUAAGCUCAAAGGAUUUGGCGGUAAGAUAUCUUUUUAGAGGAAUCUGUAUAUUAAUUGAUAUACCACAAUAAUAUGUACCUAUUAGUUUAUUUGUAUAUCGCUAUAUUUUAGAAUGUUAUUAAAGUAGAUUUUCUUUGACAUUUUAUGUUUUAUAUUAGGUCAAGGUGCAGUUUUUAUUAGGUUUAUAUGGAUUACUUUUGUUCUAAGUUUUAUGAUUAUUAACCUGUGGGUUUUAAUUUGAGUAAGGAUUUAAUAGUAAGUUAAGUAAAUUAACUUAACUGAAUUUUGCUAUGUCUUAUGUACAUAUCGCCCGUCACUCCUAGUUAAGCAAGGAUAAGUCGUAACAAAGUAAUUUUACCGGAAGGUGAAGUUAGAAAUAUAAU